UACGUAGGGUGCAAGCGUUGUCCGGAAUUACUGGGCGUAAAGGGCGCGUAGGCGGCGCAGUUAGUCAGGCGUGAAAUUCCUGGGCUCAACCUGGGGACUGCGCUUGAUACGGCUGUGCUAGAGGAUGGAAGAGGCUCGCGGAAUUCCCAGUGUAGAGGUGAAAUUCGUAGAUAUUGGGAAGAACACCGGUGGCGAAGGCGGCGAGCUGGUCCAUUACUGACGCUGAGGCGCGACAGCGUGGGAGCAAACAGG
rnacentral:rRNA from 1 species